rnacentral:rRNA from 1 species
AUUGAACGCUGGCGGCAGGCUUAACACAUGCAAGUCGAACGGUAGCAGGAAGAAAGCUUGCUUUCUUUGCUGACGAGUGGCGGACGGGUGAGUAAUGCUUGGGAAUCUGGCUUAUGGAGGGGGAUAACUGUGGGAAACUGCAGCUAAUACCGCGUAAUCUCUGAGGAGUAAAGGGUGGGACCUCUUGGCCACCUGCCAUAAGAUGAGCCCAAGUGGGAUUAGGUAGUUGGUGGGGUAAAGGCCUACCAAGCCUGCGAUCUCUAGCUGGUCUGAGAGGAUGACCAGCCACACUGGAACUGAGACACGGUCCAGACUCCUACGGGAGGCAGCAGUGGGGAAUAUUGCGCAAUGGGGGGAACCCUGACGCAGCCAUGCCGCGUGAAUGAAGAAGGCCUUCGGGUUGUAAAGUUCUUUCGGUAAUGAGGAAGGGAUGUUAUUAAAUAGAUGGCAUCAUUGACGUUAAUUACAGAAGAAGCACCGGCUAACUCCGUGCCAGCASCSG